GGAUAAAAGUCAGCAGGACUUGUACAGCUGCGGGACUGACAACCCUUUGAUUUCCGACUCUGUUGCCUCCGGGGCGACCCUGCCUUCGGGCGGGGGCUCCGGGUGGACACUUCAAACUCUUGCGUAACUUUGCAGUCUGAGUAAACUUAAUUAAUAAAUUAAAACUUUUAACAACGGAUCUCUUGGUUCUGGCAUCGAUGAAGAACGCAGCGAAAUGCGAUAAGUAAUGUGAAUUGCAGAAUUCAGUGAAUCAUCGAAUCUUUGAACGCACAUUGCGCCCCCUGGUAUUCCGGGGGGCAUGCCUGUUCGAGCGUCAUUUCACCACUCAAGCCUCGCUUGGUAUUGGGCAACGCGGUCCGCCGCGUGCCUCAAAUCGUCCGGCUGGGUCUUCUGUCCCCUAAGCGUUGUGGAAACUAUUCGCUAAAGGGUGUUCGGGAGGCUACGCCGUAAAACAACCCCAUUUCUAAGGUUGACCUCGGAUCAGGUAGGGAUACCCGCUGAACUUAAGCAUAUCAAUAAGCGGAGGAAUGACCUCAGAUCAUCUAUGGAUACCCUUUGAUUUUUAAUUUUUCUUAUUUUUUAAUAUAUUUAUAAUUUAUUUAUUUAUUAAUU
rnacentral:misc_RNA from 1 species